rnacentral:rRNA from 1 species
UCCGGAAUUAUUGGGCGUAAAGCGCGCGCAGGCGGUCCGUUAAGUCUGCUGUGAAAGCCCACGGCUCAACCGUGGAGGGUCAUUGGAAACUGGGGGACUUGAGUGCAGAAGAGGAAAGUGGAAUUCCAUGUGUAGCGGUGAAAUGCGUAGAGAUAUGGAGGAACACCAGUGGCGAAGGCGACUUUCUGGUCUGUAACUGACACUGAGGCGCGAAAGCGUGGGGAGCAAACAGG